rnacentral:lncRNA from 1 species
CAACCUCUCGAUCUUGAAUUUCCCAGCCUCCAAAACUGUCAGCUUUUACUGGAUAUUUUUGAGGAAGGAAGAGCAAGCAGCUGUAGAGGAAGGAAACAAUGAAGCACCUAAGUCAGGAUUUCAUGGAUUUUCAGCAAUGUAGACAGAACAGAUGAAAGCACUACUGGAGUAAUCAGAAUGAGAACGGUGAUUGAAGAGUGAGAUGUGGCCUAAAACCAUAUCCAUGUCAUGAUUCAUUCACAUUUGCAUGUAAUCAUAUUUGCAUUCUACCAUCAUCAACCAAACUGAGGGCCCACUAGAUUCAUCAAACUAUUUUAAGCUCUAAGAAAAUGGAAUAAGAAGUAUACUGGGUAUCUUUCAUUUAAUUCAAGAUCCACUAUCCACUUUUUUGAUUCCCGCUUUCUGGUCCAGAAAGCUAACCUAUAUGAACGACAUCAAAAUGGCCCCCAUGUCCUCUGGCUUCCCUUUGGCAGGAGAUUAGAAAGAGGAGAGUAAAGUCAGGUUAUUUAUUCUCUUGGCUCUAUCCUACAAUGUUACCUCAGGCUGGCUGUGAACUUUAAAUGAUGUCACUACUUCUGUCACUGCAGCCACCUCUACACAAAUUUCUCCUUAUGUGUCUAGUAAUGGCUCAUCUUCAUGGUCAUAGGAGUGCUAACAACUUGGCUGCUACUAGCUUAGUUUACAUCACUUUCCUUUGUGGUUUUCCUACCCCUUAACCUCAGCAAAUGUUCUCCUUGUA